rnacentral:piRNA from 1 species
UACCAAGACAGCUUAACUGGGGAUUUGGGU